UGGGGAAUAUUGCACAAUGGGGGAAACCCUGAUGCAGCAACGCCGCGUGAAGGAUGAAGGUUUUCGGAUCGUAAACUUCUAUCAAUAGGGACGAAACAAAUGACGGUACCUAGAUAAGAAGCCCCGGCUAACUACGUGCCAGCAGCCGCGGUAAUACGUAGGGGGCAAGCGUUAUCCGGAAUUACUGGGUGUAAAGGGAGCGUAGGCGGCACGUCAAGCCAGAUGUGAAAGCCCGGGGCUUAACCCCGUGGAUUGCAUUUGGAACUGGCGAGCUAGAGUACAGGAGAGGAAAGCGGAAUUCCUAGUGUAGCGGUGAAAUGCGUAGAUAUUAGGAAGAACACCAGUGGCGAAGGCGGCUUUCUGGACUGAAACUGACGCUGAGGCUCGAAAGCGUGGGGAGCAAACAGGAUUAGAUACCCUGGUAGU
rnacentral:rRNA from 1 species